AGGUCAUUUCAAAGAGGGCUUGUGGAACCUGAAACCAAGAGCUCUUAACGCUGUGACCAAAGAUUGAUGUUCUCUACAGGAUGCCACAGUGGCUUAGUAGUGCUGUGUUGUCCUGAGGAGAUACAUAU